UACGAAGGGUGCUAGCGUUGUUCGGAAUCACUGGGCGUAAAGCGCGCGUAGGCGGUUACUCAAGUCAGGGGUGAAAUCCUGGGGCUCAACCCUAGAAUUGCCUUUGAAACUGUGUAACUGGAGUGUCGGAGGGGAUAGCGGAAUUGCUAAUGUAGCGGUGAAAUGCGUAGAUAUUAGCAGGAACACCGGUGGCGAAGGCGGCUAUCUGGACGACAACUGACGCUGAGGCGCGAAAGCGUGGGGAUCAAACAGG
rnacentral:rRNA from 1 species